ACUGAGCAUCAGGAGUGGGCGCAAGCCCCGCCAACCUGCUUACCCAAGCAAGGUGGUUCGAGAAUGUGGCCGUAAGGCAACCAAGUGGGUUCUC
rnacentral:ncRNA from 10 species